GAUCCUGGCUCAGAUGAACGCUAGCGACAGGCCUAACACAUGCAAGUCGAGGGGCAGCGAAGAGGUAGCAAUACCUUUGCCGGCGACCGGCGCACGGGUGAGUACACGUAUGCAAUCCACCUGUAACAGGGGGGAUAACCCCGGAGAAAUCCGGACUAAUACCCCAUAAUAUGGGCGCUCCGCAUGGAGAGCCCCAUUAAAGAGAGCAAUUUUGGUUACAGACGAGCAUGCGCUCCAUUAG
rnacentral:rRNA from 1 species